AGAAGAUUUUCACCUGCUUCGGAGUAGCACCGCCAAGAAAAUAGCUACCGACGACGAACCUCCCGAGUAUCACUUUCGUCUUGCAAGUGCUCGUUGAGGACGUUUGUCCUUCAUUUCGCUCUCAUCCGUCUUGCUAGACUCGCAGCCUUACGGUAAGUUGUAACAGCAGUUACUGUUCUAGCAUUCGUCGUCUGUUUUGAUUGUGUCCAUGGUGUUCAGCCUUUCGCAACUAAGUUUCUUGCGUGACACACCUGCGACGACACGUAUUGCAUCUUCGGACCCAGAGUACUUCGUCAGAGUCGGCUUGGCUCCGUGUUUUCCUCCGAUGUCGACCGCUGCACCGCGGAACAAGGACCUUGCCGAUUGUCUGGAGCCCCCAGCUCUGGCAAUGUGGACUGCGGAGCCUCUCACAGCACCAGGCAUCCACAUGUCCUGGCCCUUUCAUGCCGCAGUUUCUCAGUGGUAUUCACGUGACACAGUGACAGAGAGGGCAAUGGCAGGUGACUGAGCACAACCAAGAAUGAUUGUUAGCCGGCCCUGUAGGCUGUAGCCCAAGGCAGUGACAGGGUGUCUCCGGCAGCAUGAAAGCGUGAACGGAGAGGGGAAAGUGUACGUAACGUUAUUUCGCAACGAGAUGUAUUUUUCGGAUGUAUUCAACGUGUAACUGAAUCAUGGUGGUUUUGGCAAGGCUUCAUUCGUAUAUACAUGUAUGUGAUGUGCAGUAUCCAGUACUACGCUAGAUAUUCACAAGUAGCAUUGCUGGAAUUCUUUCGUUCUCAAGUUGAUAUAGGGGCGCAGCAAAAUUCAUAGAAUUAUCAGGAGACGUUCUUUCUUCCGAAUGUAAAAUAGGGAACAUUGCAAGUUGUUAAAAAGAACCUCUCUUCAUUUUUCUCUUUUUGUUUGUUUUCUUAAUAGUUUCUCAAUGCAUGCAUAACUUGGUGUUUCCUUGUUUUCCAUUUCUAUUUAAUUUUUGUUCUUUCUGCCACCUUUCUUGCCAUAAUAUAAUAUUCUCUCCCACGUCAUCGUGACAACUUCCUUGAAGUGACGUCAUCAGCAUUAUGAUGCCAAUAAAAAUAAUGUACACAUGAA